AUUGAACGCUGGCGGCAGGCUUAACACAUGCAAGUCGAGCGGAGCGAGGGUGCUUGCACCUUAGCUUAGCGGCGGACGGGUGAGUAAUGCUUAGGAAUCUGCCUAUUAGUGGGGGACAACAUUCCGAAAGGAAUGCUAAUACCGCAUACGCCCUACGGGGGAAAGCAGGGGAUCUUCGGACCUUGCGCUAAUAGAUGAGCCUAAGUCGGGUUAGCUAGUUGGUGGGGUAAAGGCCUACCAAGGCGACGAUCUGUAGCGGGUCUGAGAGGAUGGUGCGCCCAACUGGGACUGAGACACGGACCCGACUCCUACGGGAGGCAGCAGUGGGGAAUAUUGGACAAUGGGCGGAAGCCUGACCAGCCAUGCCGCGUGUGUGAAGAAGGCCUUUUGGUUGUAAAGCACUUUAAGCGAGGAGGAGGCUACUUAGAUUAAUACUCUGGGAUAGUGGACGUUACUCGCAGAAUAAGCACCGGCUAACUCUGUGCCAGCCGCCGCCGUAA
rnacentral:rRNA from 1 species